AGAAUGAACGCUGGCGGCGUGCUUAACACAUGCAAGUCGAGCGAGGCCAGGGGGGCAACUCCCUGAGUCGAGCGGCGGACGGGUGAGUAACACGUGGGUAACCUACCCGGAAGUGGGGAAUACCUCGGGGAAACUCGAGCUAAUACCGCAUAACAUCUUCGGGACGAAAGUCCUGACGAUCAAAGCGGGGUCGCAAGAUCUCGCGCUACCGGAUGGGCCCGCGCCCGAUUAGCUAGUUGGUGAGGUAAUGGCUCACCAAGGCGACGAUCGGU
rnacentral:rRNA from 1 species